rnacentral:tRNA from 2 species
AGCGGGGUGGAGAAGUAGCAUCUCGCCUGGCCCAUAACCAGGAGAUCGCCGGUGCAAAUCCGGCCCCCGCAACCA